GCAGUCGAGCGGCAGCACGGGUACUUGUACCUGGUGGCGAGCGGCGGACGGGUGAGUAAUGCCUAGGAAUCUGCCUAGUAGUGGGGGAUAACGUCCGGAAACGGGCGCUAAUACCGCAUACGUCCUACGGGAGAAAGUGGGGGAUCUUCGGACCUCACGCUAUUAGAUGAGCCUAGGUCGGAUUAGCUAGUUGGUGAGGUAAUGGCUCACCAAGGCUACGAUCCGUAACUGGUCUGAGAGGAUGAUCAGUCACACUGGAACUGAGACACGGUCCAGACUCCUACGGGAGGCAGCAGUGGGGAAUAUUGGACAAUGGGCGAAAGCCUGAUCCAGCCAUGCCGCGUGUGUGAAGAAGGUCUUCGGAUUGUAAAGCACUUUAAGUUGGGAGGAAGGGCAGUUACCUAAUACGUGAUUGUUUUGACGUUACCGACAGAAUAAGCACCGGCUAACUCUGUGCCAGCAGCCGCGGUAAUACAGAGGGUGCAAGCGUUAAUCGGAAUUACUGGGCGUAAAGCGCGCGUAGGUGGUUUGUUAAGUUGAAUGUGAAAGCCCCGGGCUCAACCUGGGAACUGCAUCCCAAACUGGCAAGCUAGAGUAUGGUAGAGGGUGGGUGAAAUUUCCUGUGUAGCGGUGAAAUGCGUAGAUAUAGGAAGGAACACCAGUGGCGAAGCGACCACCUGGACUGAUACUGACACUGAGUGCGAAAGCGUGGGGAGCAAACAGGAUUAGA
rnacentral:rRNA from 1 species